rnacentral:rRNA from 1 species
GACGAACGCUGGCGGCGUGCUUAACACAUGCAAGUCGAACGAAGUGGCGAACGGGUGAGUAACGCGUAAUCAACCUGCCCUUCAGAGGGGGACAACAGUUGGAAACGACUGCUAAUACCGCAUACUGAAGGUGGGGAUUGCGUCUGAUUAGCUAGUUGGAGGGGUAACGGCCCACCAAGGCGAUGAUCAGGAGCCGGUUUGAGAGGAUGAACGGCCAAAAUGGGACUGAGAAACGGCCCAGAAUCCCACGGGAGGCAGCAGGGGGGAAUCUUCCGGAAUGGAGGAAAGGCUGACGGAGCAACGCCGCGGGAGUUAUGACGGCCUUCGGGUUGUAAAGCUCUGUUAAUCGGGACGCGGUACCGGAAUAGAAAGCCACGGCUAACUACGUGCCAGCAGCCGCGGUAAUUC